rnacentral:rRNA from 1 species
UACGUAGGUGGCGAGCGUUGUCCGGAUUUACUGGGCGUAAAGCGCGCGCAGGCGGUCCGGUAAGUCUCCGGUGAAAUCGCCCGGCUCAACUGGGCGGGUGCCGGGGAGACUGGCGGCCUUGAGGAGCCUAGAGGCCGGUGGAACUCCCGGUGUAGUGGUGAAAUGCGUAGAGAUCGGGAAGAACACCAGUGGCGAAGGCGGCCGGCUGGGGGUGUCCUGACGCUGAGGCGCGAGAGCGUGGGGAGCAAACCGG